UCACAGGACCUUGAGAGGGAAUAUCCUGCGAGAACGACGUUAGCGUGAGUCAGUUGUCCUGUUCUUCUUCUGUGUUCCUUUGACUUGGACACUCUUUCCCAUCUGGUCUUCUAAUGUCAACAAUGAAGAAAAGACCUGUACACUCAAGCCUCAGGAUGGUCUGAAGCUCACAGUGUUUUUCUCUCCAUGCAGGCAGAGGAACCCUCCAAGAAAAAAGGAACCUGCUGCACGGCUGGGAUGGAGAGCUCUGGUCAAUUCCCCCACCUGCUGCUCCCCUGACAGACUGUUCCAGUGUCAGAGCCAGUGUGAGUGUGAGCAGCAAUGGACUCUUGACACACGCAGAUGUUGCGUUGAGAAGGUCAGUGCAAGGACAGAUAGCACUUGCUAAAUAGGGGCGUCCUUUAAAGGAGAGGACAACUAAGUAUUUUCAAAGCUUUAUUGUCUUCAGUACAGAAGCCUGGUGAACAUACCGUGUAUUUGGCUCAAAGGAGAUGUCUCAGAAGAAAGGUUGCUUUUUACCAAGUAUAACAUAUUGCAGAAUGACUGAUGCACACAGAAGCACCAGAGGUGGAUUCUAGGGGGGAAAUGAGAUUGGAAGGACUCAGGAAGGGAGGGCAAGUGAGCUCAAGUCAGAUUAGGAGGCAGGAGCCUGAAGAGCCGGCAGGGACACACAGCCUGCCCUGGGUGCUGUGCCCUGUUUGAGAUGGGCUAUUUCACGUUGAUGGGGUGACCUGGGGCUAGAAAACCUCUCUUCCCUGCUCCUCUUCUGCACCUGCUGACUCACUCUGUGUCCUUUUACUUCCCACAGAAUAUACCUUGCUGGAAAAGUUCUCCUACCAAUCCUCAGAUGAGGAGGAGCCACCACAGGGGUAGGUCAGUCCACCUGGUUUGGUUGGAGAAAAGAUUUCUUAACUUUACCCUUUUGAAUUUCAGUACGGUAGGAGAAUCUGACCCUAUGUGUCAUA
rnacentral:lncRNA from 13 species